GAGAAGUGGCGUGUGAGGGCCAGUGAGAAUGCGGGUGGCAAGGAGAUUUUGGGGACUGACCGAUCUGGAAGAGACGAUUUCGGGGAUAUAGGUAUUUUUCCGGAAGAAAGUCAGGAGCGACGACGCUAGUAGCGACAAUGUCGAUUGCGGCUAAAAAAGCGCCUAUUAUGCAUGUAUAUUAUACAAUAAAAAAUUAUAGCAACUCUUGACUCCCAAUUCAAUUUAUCAUUCAACGGUCGUGCUAGCAGAG
rnacentral:lncRNA from 1 species